UAAACGGCGGCUGUAUCGUAAACGGUCCUAAGGUAGCAAAAUUCCUUGUCGGGUAAUCUCCGUCCUGCAUGAACGGUGUAACGACUUCCCCAUUGUCGCUAGUGUGAGACUCCUAAUAAAUAGAAUUAUCCAUGAAUAUGUGGAAUCAUACGGCCCGACGGUAAGACCCUGAGCACCUU
rnacentral:rRNA from 1 species